ensembl:ncRNA asRNA:CR44019 antisense RNA:CR44019
AGGCGUAGAAAAGCGAAAAGAGGAAAGUAGAGCACUGACCGGAAAGCUGAAAAAAUAAAGCUCUUCAGAGAAAUAGAGUAGCAAGAAUGGGCUAUUUUUUAAAACGCAAUUAAACAUUUUUUGUUUGGAAUAUCGCAGAUUUCAUUGAAGAUGAAAAUCAUUGUUGAAAUUGCACUUCAGCCACUGAGGCUGGACAGUUGACAUCCUUUCUUGUCAGUGUACUUCAAAGAGGAAAAAACAAGGGACGUCAGCCAAUAUGGCGAAUGUGUUUACCUACGAGGAGGUGGUUAUGAUUACCAAUUCGGCGAGAGUAGGACCAAGGCAGGAUGUACUAUGUUUUCCACCCAAAAGGAUUAUGUAUUUAAGAUGAGAAUCAUUGGGAGAUUCGAUCUAGCCAUGUCCAUAUCGGGAAUUAUAUAAGGUGUAAAGUUAUGGCACGCAGGGAAUAUUCGGCAACAGUCGAAGAUGA